rnacentral:rRNA from 1 species
UACGUAGGGGGCUAGCGUUGUCCGGAUUUAUUGGGCGUAAAGAGCGUGUAGGCGGCCAGGUAGGUCUGCUGUGAAAACUCGAGGCUCAACCUCGAGAUGUCGGCGGAAACCAUCUGGCUAGAGUCCGGAAGAGGAAAGUGGAAUUCCAGGUGUAGCGGUGAAAUGCGUAGAUAUCUGGAGGAACACCGGUGGCGAAGGCGGCAUCCUGGACCGGUAUUGACGCUGAGGAGCGAAAGCCAGGGGAGCAAACGGG